AUAUGCCUAGAAGAGAAGCUGGUGUGAUGGGCUAGCUGGCAGUGACCUUGCCCAGGGGUUUUGAAAGGGCAAAAGAUGAUUGGAGGACUGGGAUUCCCUUUCCUCACCAAUCAGGCCCCAGAGAUUCACCUCUCAUGUCCCCUGAUUGGCCCCUUGGGUCACCUGGAGGGGGAUAAAAGGGGCAGCGCGGCUGACUCAGAGAGAGACCAGCGAGGGACUAUGAGGAAGGAACUUCAAAGUGCUGGCAAGAGCUGAGCCUUCGGGGUGGAAGCAGUUGCCCCAGAAGCACUUGAAGGAGCAGGACCUGCAGGCAGCAGUUGGACCCUCAGCAGCGCAGCAUGUGACCGGCAGGAGAGGCUUCCUACUGGGCUCUAGGAUCCCCUAGGAGAGGCUGUGGUCAACUGGAGAGGCUUCCUACUGGGCUCUAGGAUCCCCUACGAGAGGCUGUGGUCAACAGGAGAGGCUUCCUACUGAGCUCUAGGAUCCCCUACGAGAGGCUGUGGCCAGCAGGAGGAUCUGAGCAGUGACCUGAGGGGUUCCCAGUUCGGCUUCCAGCUCCUCCAAUCAGAGACCAGGCAGCUCAAGGUGAGGCCGGGGCUCCAGGAAGGUCAAAACCCCUAGCAGCUUGGAGCAGUGCCAGCACUGGUGACUGUGUGGCAGUGUUCCUGCCUACCACAUGGGACUUCUGAGUUCAAGUCGUGACUUGGGAUGAGUGAGCUAACAAGGAGAAAUUCCUCUUGCAGUAGAAAGGAGCCAUUGUAUUUUCCACCUUUCUACCCCUCCAGAUGCUCUUCACACAGCUCAGUGACUCACUGUUGGGACCAGAUGUGUGUGUUCCUCCAGGACUUGAUUCUACAUUGUACCCAGGGUUUCCUGAGGACAUCCAGAUUGUACCUGAGCAGGAAGUAUCUGGCUCUAGGAUUCCCCUUUACCUGGGAAUCCUACCACAGGAGCAGCAGCCAGGGACAAUUUUUAAGUUCCCAAAGCAGGACAGGCAAACCUGUCAGUCUCCUGGGGAAGGAAGAGAGAGUCUCUCCAGGCAGCUGGAUGCACUGCCACAGGCAUUCAACGCCCACUGACCUGAAUGUGGCCAGAGAAGAUUCCUGAGUGCCCAGUGUCUAUGCUGAAUGCUGAUGGAGGGGGAGGUGAUGUCCCUGUGCAGUGUGUGCCCCUGGCUUCCAAGUGUGGAGCUGGGCUAAAGUGAGACCAGAUCCCAACGUGGGGAGGGGGGUGCUCAAGCCUCACACUUGCUGUGCCAUAUUCUCUGUGGGAUUCAAUGUCAUUAAA